rnacentral:rRNA from 1 species
AAACUUAAAUGAAUUGACGGGGGCCCGCACAAGCAGCGGAGCGUGUGGUUUAAUUCGAGGCAACACGAAGAACCUUACCUGGGCUUGACAUGUUCGUGGUAGUGAAGCGAAAGCGGAUCGACCCUUCGGGGAGCGUUCACAGGUGCUGCAUGGCUGUCGUCAGCUCGUGCCGUGAGGUGUUCGGUUAAGUCCGGUAACGAGCGCAACCCUUGCUGUUAGUUACAAGUGUCUAACGGGACUGCCGGUUUAAUACCGGAGGAAGGUGGGAUGACGUCAAGUCAGCAUGGCCUCUAUGUCCAGGGCUACACACACGCUACAAUGGCCGGUACAGUGGGUUGCCAAACCGCGAGGUGGAGCUAAUCCUCAAAGCCGGUCUCAGUUCGGAUUGUAGGCUGCAACUCGCCUGCAUGAAGUCGGAGUUGCUAGUAACCGCGCGUCAGCUAUAGCGCGGUGAACUACGUUCCCGAGCCUU